rnacentral:misc_RNA from 1 species
UUUCCGUAGGUGAACCUGCGGAAGGAUCAUUAAAAAUGAAGCCGGGAAACCGGUCCUUCUCACCCUUGAUUAUCUCAAUUUGUUGCUUUGGUGGGCCGCGCAAGCACCGGCUUCGGCUGGAUCGUGCCCGCCAGAGGACCACAACUCUGCAUUAUAUGUCGUCUGAGUACUAUAAAAUAGUUAAAACUUUCAACAACGGAUCUCUUGGUUCUG